rfam:Candidatus Nitrososphaera gargensis Ga9.2, complete genome.
AGGCAGGGAGGAUCGGGGUGCCAGCCGUACCCCAUACUGGAAAUCGGCUUUAUGCCAGGAUCAGUAACGGCCGGGUAAAUCCGCUGGCAGGAGGUUCCCGCUUGCCUUGCUGAAAUGAAAUCACGCCGUGUCGGAUGGUUAUGAGCGGCGAACUGCGCGAAGGCGCGGUCUCGACCGCGCAUCGUCGAAAUGGGUGAGGUCCGGGAGGGAGCAACCCUAAGGCGGCGUAACCAUGCUAGCACGUCUACGUGGUGGAUCUUGCGGGGCCUGAAAUGGGGCCUUGUGCCAACGGUGGUACCGGUCGGCUGCCU